rnacentral:rRNA from 1 species
GCAGGCGCGAAAACUUUGCAAUACANGAAAGUGUGACAGGGUUAUCCUGAGUGCCAUCCGNUGAGGAAGGNUUUUACCCAGUNUAGAACGNUGGGGGAAUAAGGAGAGGGCAAGUNUGGUGUCAGCCGCCGCGGUAAUACCAGCUCUACGAGUGGUGUGGAUGUUUAUUGGGCCUAAAGCAUCCGUAGCNGGNUAAGUUAGUNCCCCUGUUAAAUCCACCGAAUUAAUCGUUGGAUUGCGGGGGAUACUGCUNGGCUAGGGGACGNGAGAGGCAGACGGUAUUCNCGGGGUAGGGGUGAAAUCCUAUAAUCCCGGGAAGACCACCAGUGGCGAAGGCUGUCUGCUAGAACGCGCCCGACGGUGAGGGAUGAAAGCUGGGGGAGCGAACCGGAUUAGAUACCCGGGUAGUCCCAGCUGUAAACGAUGCAGGCUAGGUGUUGGACGGCCACGUGCCGUNNAGUGCCGCAGGAAGC